AAGGCCCUGGGUUCAAUCCCCAGCACAACAAAACAAAACAAAAACUUGUUACCACAUACAUAAAAUGGUAUCCAUAUAAAUUCGGUGUUUUAAGAGUGGCUAGAGUGCUAAGCUGAUGUUCUCUCUUUCUCUACUUAUCUAUUGGAUGAUAUUCUUACACUAGGAGUUUAUAAAACAUAGUUAUGUAUUACUUUUGUGAAAAAGUUAAUAGAAUGCAUCACAUAAAACUAUGUUGCUGUGCAGAACUAUGACUGUGCCGACUCUGGGGGACCCUCGAUCCUGUCCCUUUACCUGGCACACAACGGUCAGGCGAGAGAAAGAGGAGGCGACCUAGCCUCGGGCCGUGACCGCAGGUGCGGGAGUCGCAGCCACGGGAGGAAGCGAGGGUGAACACUACAGUGCACACCAGCCCCCCGCGCGUUUGCGCUGGGUCUGGAGUAUCUGUGCACGCAGGGUGAGCUCUCUGGGGACGGCCCCGUCUCACCACGGAAGCUUUACCCGCGCCGCGUGCCCCGUGUGCGCAGCGGGAGAAACCGUGCCGCCGCUUCCGGGGCGGUGACAUCUGCGGCCCCUGCAAGGGAGGCAGGUGUGGAUUUCCCGUGGGAGGCACCGGUCAGCGCUCAGCGGGCCUCGACGCUGGACAUUCCGGACUGGGGAUUUUCGGACUAGGACGCUCAGCCUGCAGUAGCUUGGCCUUCGAGGGGCUCCUUUCUUGAGGAUCGACGUCUCCUCAUGGGUAAUUGAUCACCACAGACCCAGGGACCCUCGAUUCACCGUCGAGGGAGGGUAGUCGUCAUGAAUAAUCAGAAAGCUGUCGCUGUGCUCCUGCAAGAGUGCGAGCGAGCGCUGGAUCAGCUCUUGGUGACCGCGCCAGAUGUGUCUGAGGAGGACAUGAGGGAGGACGAGCGAUGCCGCGCUUUACUCUCUAGAGAGGUAAGGACCCUGAUCCAGGAGGCAAAGGAAAUGAAGUGGCCCUUCGUGCCUGAAAAGUGGCAGUACAAACAAGCCCUGCGUCCAGAGGACAAAACAAACCUGCAGGACAUGAUUGGCGCCGAGCUGCUGCAGCUGCUGGGAAGCUCUCGAAAGCAGAGUAUAUCCUGAGCAGCCUCAUCAGCAACAGCGGAGCGACAGGUACCUGGCGCUACCAAAAGGAAAGUGACAAGGUGCUGGUGCAGUCCGUCUGCAUACAGAUUAGAGGCCAAAUUCUGCAAAAGCUUGGGCCUCUCCGCAUCACUGGGAAUACUGGCAGACAUCUUUGUUUCCAUGAGCAAGAACGACUAUGAAAAAUUUAAAAGCCACCCACAGAUCAGCCUGGUAACUGUCACUUGUCUAA